rnacentral:lncRNA from 1 species
AAUCAUAAAAUUAAAACAAAUAAGAAUAAUAAUUAUAAUAAUCAUGGUUGUAACACACCAACAAGUGCAUCAAGCAGAAGAAAAUUGGUCGCUACACAAUUGCUAGAACCACAUCCAGCCAUAUGCUGCCCUCGUCACACAAAUCUCAGACUUUACAAAGCACUGAUAUUAUUGAGUUCAGUCUCGAGUCAUGUAACUCCAUGAUCCAAUUCUAUCCAAGAAAAUCGCGAAGAAACACCACUGCAGUGACGCAUAGCAUGACCCCAUAACACUAUCUAAUUAUUUCAUUUCAGAACUUAAAACCUCGAAAGCCUCUCUAACACGGAGAUGCCUCUACGAGUGCAUGAGUCGUACGCACUGACAUCAAAAGAAAGUCCAAAAGACACACAAAUCACAACACACCCGGAACUGGGAGGACCGAUCCGACGAGACCCAUCAAAUAAUCCAACACCUUCCCAAUCCUCUACACCGUUGUAGGGUUGAAAAUCACACAUGGAUGAAGAGCCUCCUCAAUGUUUCCGCAUUUCUGCACAUUAAAAACUGGAGGGUGCAACAUCAUCGCUUCGCUAGAAUCGUGACUAACAGCAAAAACCACAAGAGACAAUACUUGCUACCAACACUGUAGUCAUCCUAACGACACAUAGCUACUUCUAUGACUAAAGUAAGCCAAAAGCACCACAGAGAUUAGAACCACGGCCAUCGUUUACUAAGUCGUCCACAUCUUCUUACAAAGUGGUAACGGAUACAAGUUGUUCAUCAUUCCUCUCAGCCAUUCAAAAACAACCACAAUGUAUUUUCAAAUGUAGGUCGCAUGGUCUGUCCCAGAGGGUCAUAGCAGCGACGCAGCUCCCCAGGGCAAUGGAAUAUGCCACCUUACUAUAACGGAGUACGCUCUGCAUCAACGAAGAUGAAAACCUACAUCGCGUGGUAAGAUGUUUCUCUGACGUUCACAAAGGGCUCUACGACCACAAACGCAUCAAGUAGAUGCAAAUGGUCGCUCCAUAAUUGUUAGGCCAACACCGCGCCAAGAGUGCUGGCCCCGUCAUCCAGGGCACACAUGCCAUGUAAACCUGCUCAGCUUCAGGAUUCAAGCACAGAACGCCCAACUCUCCUUAAUCUAUUCAAUCCUAACGCAAAACGACAGAAAGAGGCCGAGGCCGGGAUAGAUACCCCAAAUCCUAAAACCUAAAGCCAACUACACCAGUGUAGAGGUCAGAACCACAACCGUGUUUACAACUUCGUCCACACGUCUUCUUUCAGAGUGGUAACGGAUAUGUAUUGAUUAUUAUUUCUCUUGCAUUUGAGUUAUCUACAGUAUGAGUUUAACUGUAGGUCGCAUGGUCUGUCCCAAAGGGUUACGGCAGCAAUACUGCUCCCCAGGGCAACGGAAUAUGCCACCUCACUAUCAUGGAGUACAUCUUGCAUCAACAGUGAUGCAGACCUACGUCACAAAACAGCAUCUGUCUUCGACGUUAACAAAGGACUCUACGACCAGAAGCGCAUCAAGCCGAUUCAAAUGGUCGCCCCAUGGUUGUUAAGACAACACCCCGCCAAGAGUGCUACCCCCGUCACCAAGCUUCAACCUACAAGCUAUCAAUCAGACCAGGUUUUCAUCACAGACGAGAUCAGAACCACAGCCAUGGUUUACAACUUCGUCCACACAUCUUCUAUCAGAGUGGUGACGGAUAUGUUUCUCGUCAUUUCUCUCAGCCAUUCAAGACAACUACGUAUGCGUUCACAUGGAGGUCGCAUGGUCUGUCCCAGCGGGUUACGGCAGCGAUGCUGCUCCCGAGGGCAAUGGAAUAUGCCACCUCACUAUCAUGGAGCAACCAACCUCACACAACAGCGUCUGUCUUCGACGUUAACAAGGGACUCUACGACCAGAAGCACAUCAUGUAGAUGUAAAUGGUCGCUCCGUAAUUGUUAGGUCAACACCCCGCCAAGAGUGCUUACCGCGUCGUCUAACUUCCACCGUGAGAUGGUUCCAAUCGAGACCAGAAAAAUCAAGGCGCAUCCUCUGGUGAAUACAUCAAGAUAUCAGCCGGCACUAGCAACUUUAUCUCACCGAAUAACCUAAACUCUGGACCAACUCGAAACACAGACUCCGUACCAUAAGUGAGCCGAUAACCAAAGGCCAGGUACGAGAGCAGUCAUGCAAAGAGGAACGAACGCGUCUAGUCAGCUUAUUACUCAAUCUGACGACAAUCAGGCCCUCUUCCAGACUCCACCACAAGAUGAACACUGGAACCCCCACUCUUGAAACAACGUGUCAUGUUCCACGCAACAUGCCAACAAAAAACUCCAUAUACAUUCAAGUCGAUCAUCUGAAAUACGUAGACACUUCCACCACAUUAACGGCCAAAGUUAGGGCUCGUUCAACCAAAUUGUACUACAUCUCAACUAUUAAACUGUUAAACUCGGAUGUGCCGCGCGCACUGAAUUGCAUGAAGCUCUGGCAUGCAUCAAGAGACAGAGAAAGACAGAGAGAGUGGGGAAAAGGAACUGCUGUCCUGGUUCCUGAUGAGAGCUUUAUGUUAUGCCCUAGUCAUCGAGGUGCGGUGUAGGUCCAGGUCCCUAAUGGGGUGGCGUCCCAGGUCAUCAAAAUGUUCCUCCGCACCUUAACUUCCCUGCAGCCCAUCAGACCAAACCCAGCGAAUUUUCAUCGCUUUGCUCUUCAACAAACAAAAACAGAAUGGACAUGUUUAUUGAAUGUGAUAUGAUUAUAUUUGAGGAUGGAGAUUGGUGAUUUUUUAUCAAAUAUUAUAACUGCCCAUAAAUAUAAGAUGAGUUUUUAAGUAGACGUGGUAAAAACUGAAGAUGUCUUUUGUUGUGUCAUAUGGUUUUGUAUCAAUUUGUAUGGUAAUACGUGUUCAUUUUUAAAAUUUUCAGAAGAUAUUAAACACAGUUUAAAUGUAACGAACUUUCAUAAUUUUAAAGAAAAUAAGAAUUCAGUAUGCAUAAUAUCAUGUUUUUAGGUAAAUAUAUAAAUAUGAACCAUGAAGAUGUCAGCACAGAUGAUUUCAUUGCUUUCCAAAAGUAUUUUGUUGUCAAAGAACUACUUGUAGUAUAGAGAUUGAGUUGAAAUUCUGUAACAAUAUGAAUUGUAGAAAAUUAAAUGCUAAUCUUCAACUAUUAAAAACUCAAACUUAGAACAUAGUGUACUUGUGUAGAUUUUCAAGUAGAGUUAAUUUUGCUUGCUCAGUAUUUUCACAGAAUUACUUUCACACUUAAAAAAGUGAUAAUUGUUUUAACCAUUCAAAAACGUUUAAGGUUGUAUAAAUGUAAAUUGAAUAAUAAAUGUAUGUAUGUGCAUAUGUACGUGAACAAGAAUGUAAUAUUUUAUGAAAUUACAAUAUUUAAACAAAUUAACAUAAUAACAUCAAUAUUAAUAUUCAAUAUAUUUUUAAAAGUAUUAGAAAUAUUAUAUUUUUUAUUAUAUUAUUUUAUUGUUUUAUUGAUGUAUUAUUAUAUCCUUGCAAUUUAUAUGGUUUCAUUAUAGGUAAAAAUGUUAAUUUUUUUUAUAGUUUUUAAUUAUUAUAUAUUAAUACCCAAAAUUUAGGUGAAGUUAAAAUAAUAUUAUUGUGUAAUUCCAAGUUCAUUCAAUUUUAAGUCAAAAAUAUUAAUUAAACAUCAUAUUGUUAAAAAUAAUUUUAAAUUUUAUAAUAUUAAAAUAAUAUAUCAUUUAAUAUAAAAAAUAAAAUACUUAUGUAAUAUAAUUUAUAAUAAGAUUUCUAUAAUAUUGAAUUUUAUUUUUUCUAAUGUAGUAUAACAUACAAAAGAUUUUAUGAAUAAAUAGAUUGUCCUCAACUCUAUCUUAUCAUUUUAGCAAUAGCUCCCACUUUUCAAUAGAAGAUGUGGUGGAUAUAAGUAUGAUUACUAGGAAGUCAUGUAGAAGUUUACAUUAUUAAAACUAAAUUAGUAUGUAAAUAUUGUUGGAUAAACUACUACAAAUUUUGUCUUUAUAAGAUAUAAGUAAAAAAUCUAAAUUUAAUCUAGUGACUAAGUUAACUUUAUUAAGAUUAAAAAAUAAUUUAAAGAAUUCUAUUGCAAUGAAUAAAAUUAGUAUGACUAUAGUGCCAAGGACAAGAACUCAAUGAAAGCAAAUAAACAAGUGGGACUUUUUCAAAAAAAUAGAAAUAGAGAAAUAUUGAAAGAAAAACUAGAAUAACUAUUGUCAAAAGACAAAGAAACUAGAGAUUCUUGAAACUAGACUAGAAACAAGAAAAGAGUCGACAAGAGUGAAGAAGGCUUCACUCUUGCCUCUAUAUAUACUAUCUACCAAAGAUCUAUGUGGCGACCUUCUAUAGGACCUCCAAAAACAUGUUGACUUUGUAUGACAUAUAUUUUGACUUACAAGUCGAGUUUUUUAUAUGACUACCACAUAGUUAGCUUGAUCCACAAGCUACCAAUACAUGUAGCAUAUAGAUAGUUUGUUGACUAAGUUUCUAACUUAUCAAUCAACUAUAAACAUAUGUAAAGUCAAAACAAUGUUUUGAAAGCUUUUCUAAAAAGUAUUAUGAAAUUAAUCUACUUUUACCUAAUUCUACUUAUUCAUAUUAUCUAGGUAACGAUUACAAUAGGUAUAUAUUCGUAACAUAUAGUGAUUUUCAUGGAUAACUUAUCUUUGUGCAUUGUAUAUCUUCUUUUCAACAUCACUUCCUAAAUCUUCUCAGUUUUUCAUGGAAUGAAAGCAAGUUUUAUUAUAAAUUAAUUCAACAUCUUUUAUUUUUAUCUUUUUUAUUUUUAUUUUUUUCUAUUAUAUUGUACAAUCUAAGGUUCAUCUUUAUUAAAAUAUUUUAAAUUUUUUUGAAGGUUUACAAAUACUCAUUACGAGAAUUAGUCAAAUUACAGUAGAUUAAAUGACAGACAUACUAAACUAUAUAGUAAGAGAAAAAAAUCUCUUAAAUGGUCACAACUACUGAAACAUGAUUAGAUUAUCUCAAAAACCCAAGAUCCUUCCAAUCCACAACAACAUGAGGCCUCACCACUAAACAUGACAAAACAAACCAGAAUAAAAUUGAACGGAAUUAAACAGAAUAAAACAUGAAAGACAAAACUGAAUAAACAGAAACAGAAUAGAAUAGAACAUAUCUGAACAAACAAAAACAAAAAAGAAUAGAACAAAUCUAAACAGAAAGAUGUAAAACCAAAAUUUACUAAAAAAAAGGGGUCCAUAAACAUGCUUGAUUAGAUGCCCCAAAAAGCCUUGGCCAGUUCUAUUUAUACCUUAUUCUAUCACCUUAGAUCUUUUAGAAUGUUCUUAAGUAGUGGGCCCUAUUUAAACAAUUGCCUUAAAUUUUUUUCUAGAAGGUUCUAUGGUGGGCUCUAUCUAAAUAACCACCCCAAAUCUUCUCUAGAAUGUUCUAUAGUGGAUCCUACUUAGUCCACUAACCUAACCUCAUUUCUAGAAACUUCUAUGGUUCUAAUUAUCUAUAUAAUUAUCUUAUCUAUAUCCUAUUACAAUUACAAAGAAUGAUGAUCUUUGUUGAAAAGUAUAUUUUUGAGAGAUGAUCUAGUCAAUUUAAUAUACACACCAUCCACAUAUCAGACUACCUCAUUACUUAAAAAAGUGAGAAUUAAAAGAGCAACCAAAUCAACUAAUUCAAUUUUUAUAGUAGCUAAACAAGAUCUACAAUACAAAUGAAGCACAAAAAUUAUUGUUCAUCUCUAUCUUUUUUGUCAUUGAUCAAUUAGAAAUAUUAAGUAAUCUACCUUGUCAACUAGUUAUAUGUCACAAAUGCAUAAAAAAAAUUACAUAUUAUAAGAUUUUUAUGGCACCAACAACUAUACAAUUAAUAUAAGGUAUGCUAAACUCAAUAAAAAGAUACUAUAGAGCAAUUAUAUUAGAAGAAAAACAUCAUACUAUGAUACAAAAUAAUAAGAUUCUUUACCUAUCUAGAAUUAAUCUCAUCAUGAAUAAUAAAGACAUUGAUUAAGUCUUAGAAAUAUUUUGCUUUACAGCUUUUGAGAAUAAAAACUAGUUUUUCAACUCUAGAACAUCCAAACACUUCACAUAGGACGCUCAAAUAUUUAGUGAUUUAAAACUAGUCUUGAACCCAUCCAUCUACUAUCACCUCUACUUAAAGACAAUCUCAUACCAUUGUAGGCUAUAGAAUUAUUAAUGAUCAUAUAUCCUUUGUCAAAAAUACACUAUACAAAAGACCAAACAAAAAGUUGAACAAAAGAAUUUCAACAAAAAACCUAGCAAGAACUUGAUUAUACCAAAUGAGUACAAAAUUAACACCAAGAGAGGUGAACUAGAACUCCAAGAAAUAUAUUGUCAAGACUGAGAAUCCCAUCAACCUUAACUCUAAUAUAUAUUAGGUAAUAAGAAACUUCUCAAGAAGUUCCCAUGUUGCUUAAAGACAAAACAACUUUAAAAAGGUUCUCAAGAAAUUCCCAUGUUGCUUGAAGAUAAAGCAAUCUUAAAAAGCUUUUUAAAAAGUUUUGAUGUUGCUUGAAGACAAAGCAACCUUAAGAAUCUUUUUAAAAAGUUUCCAUAUUGCUUGAAGAAGAUGAAACAAUGUUAAGAAACUUCUUAAAGUUUACUUUUAUUACUAAGUGGAAAGUUGUUUUGAUUGUAGUUGCCCUUUUUGCUAGUAACAAUUGGCCAACAAUUCACUACCUACAGAAACAGUAUUCAUAGAAGUACCGGAAGGUUUUUACACAUCCACAAAUUGAAACAAGGUCUUCAAACUAUGCAAGGCAUUAUACUGCCUCCGACAAGCCCCUCGAGUGUGGUUAGAGAAGAUUAAUUUCUUUUUAGAUCAACUUGGGUUGUCCCGAAUGGAGGCCGACUACAGCCCGUUCCUCAUCACCGACGGGAAACGAAAUCAUCAUCCUAAUCCUUCAUGUAGACAGUCUACUACUCACCUGCUCAAAUCCUAACCAAAUCAACCAUCUAAAACAACAACUUUUGGAGAGAUUCGAGAUGACCGAUCUUCGUGACGUUGCUCUGUACCUAGGUGUACAAUUCAUCCGAACCCCGAACGCCAUCUUUCUCAUGCAAAAAUCGUAUUGCUUGCAAGUUCUAAAAGAAUUUGACAUGCUGGAAUGUAGCCCAGCAACUGUACCUAUGACUGAGGACUCCGAUUGAACCCUGAAGAAGACUCUCUCGGUGUCGACGCUAAACGCUUUCAGCAUCUCGUCGGGAUGCUAAUCUACUUGGUCAACACUAAACCUGAGCUUCACUUCGUGACUGGUGUAUUAAGUCGGUUCAUGCACAACCCAAAGACACUGCAUCUAGAUGCAGCUAACCAAGUACUUUGAUACAUCAAGGGUGCUUACGAUCUUGAGAUCCACUACGAGAACAACACAAGCCCGAUGGUUAUCGGCUAUACCGACUUAGACUGGGGGAAUUGUAGAAUCGACAGAUAGUCCAUCAUAGGAUGGGUUUUCAAGUCCGCGGGUAGCCCCAUAUUGUGAUUUUUGAAAAAACAAGAAACAGUGGCCAUCUCCUCAACAGAUGUUGAAGCCAAGGCUCUCUCAGAGGGAAUCCGCGAAGCCGUAUGGCUUUGCACACUCUUCACAAAACUCCACGGCUACACCACAGAUCAUAUUGCGAUCUUCUGCAACAAUCUGCAAUCCCGUAUACCACGAACAACUCAAGCACAUAGAACUAUGGGUCCACUUUGUUAGAGAAAAUGUUCUUACAGGAAUUGUAGAUAUCCUCUACACCCAAACCAGUGACCAAAUCGCUGACCUCUUCACGAUGCCAUUAGGGGAACAGCGGUUCACCAAGCUCCAGGACGAGCUUCGAAUAAAAAACCUUAAUCUACUAAAAUCCAACUAUGAUCGUCUCAUAUAGCUUUCUGCCUCCUCCAUCCGCUUAAAACUACGGAAAUCGGUAUUAUGGUACCCACUUACUUGUUUCUCACACUCAACCCAACUCUCGUACACACCUGGCCAGAAUCCAUUCUUCACAGCAUAGUACCUCCUACGAACUUGAGCAUCAUCCCCGACUUUGAUCUCUGAAGAUCAGUUGCUUUCAACCGCAAUCCUCGAGCUUCACCAACCUCUCCCAAAUCAUUAUUUGCAACUGGACGCUGCUUAGAAGAAGUCGCCACUCGUAUCAACACAUUCAACAGGAAGUCGAACAACCGUUGGAUUACGAUUAUGAGCAAGGCAAGAAUCAGAAUGUCCACCUGGAGGAACAACGGCACCUACAUCAAUCAUGCUGCCCACCUUACCGCAAUACACCGAAAACAGGACAGUUCAAACCUCUCCAGCAGCAUGUUGCAAACUUGACAUCGUACUUGCAAAACUGCCAUUUCUAGUAUCUCUAAACUUCAUCUCUCAAAAUCAUCGUGCUCUUCUCACUCACCUCCAUUCGUGUAAAAGCUCUUACCUCGUAUCCAAAUAUCUCGGUACGGGGGGUGUUAACCAUGAUCUGUUGAACGUAACAAAUGUCAUAGUAUGUACUCUGUUAGAACAACAUUCAUACCAUAUGAAUGUGGUAUAUAUGUCAAAGUACUCGACUAAUAAAUCCAUUUUUCUUGUUUGAUAUGUACGUAUGUACUGAUGGUGUCACUCAUCGAACAGCUUCACAAUGUUCUCGUUACGGUACUUCCACGGACAUCUCCCCAUCUUCAUAAUCUAGCAAUUUUUACUUAGUCUUGUGGAGUGUUAUGUGAGACUCCAAGUGCCAAUUUAUGUAUAUUUCUCGGGAUGAAUUAAUUGUCCACGAACACGCGAUUAGAGAAUGAUAACUGACACACGGUUAUGAGCAGAACAGAGGAUCAAAUGUACGUUCCAGUUUCAGAAUAACAGAACAGAAAACGACAUGCCAACCCUCAGCAGGGGUUGGACGCGUUGAUAUUAUCAUUUAGGAAUUGGAUUUUAGCCUGAGCCAAGAGCGCAUCUGCAUCCAAGCUCUUACUUCUAAUCUAAACAUAAACAAAUGCUACGUGGCAGAAUAUUUCUUGGCGCCAUCUCUUGUUGGUUACACUUUGAUGAAUCUGCUACGAUUCUACGGAUAUUUCUUAUGGAACCAUCAAACAGAUACUGAACAGAAUAUGGUAAAGAGAGGAACUUAUAUUUGAGAUCCUGAGUAUCCAUUUACAGACUAAGGUAGCAGCAUAAUGAAGGGAUUCGACCAAAAAGCUGGCCGUGGAAUAAUCUACAACCCCAUGAGCGUAAUUAAUUUCCUACAUCUUGUUUUUACUCAGCUCUCACUAAUCCAUAGAGUGAUACUUCCCACUCGUUUGAAAUUUUCACACAGAGUUUCCGCAAGUAACCGCACACGAGACUCGAACAAUUACUUUUUACGCUCACUGAGUGCGGCUAGCUAUCCAGUUCCCUGAAGUCUGUACAAAACCUCUGUGGAAUCCACUCGAGAAGAACACUUAAGCUUAAGUAUCAAGAAAAUACGACUAUCACUUGAACCCUCGUUCAAAGAUCUCAAGAUUCCGCUCCACCAUUGAUACGCUCGCACUCGUCAAUCCAGUCACUGUAGACAUCGAUGGGGUCACUGAGCGCUGCAUAAACAAACCACAACGAUAUUAAACACAGGGCUCACCUAAAAUCUCACCUCAUCUCGCUCACUACCAAAAAGCCCAAUCGAAGACGCAAAAAAAAUCCCACAUGUUAACGACAGUUCCUAUUUUUGCCGUUUCCACAAACCUAACACGGCUAUGUACACAUUCGCCAAGAGCGACUUACAAUCAAUAGGCGUGCUGAACUUCUCCAGACAUAUUCGACAAGACGCCUCUCCAAUUUGGUUUUUGCGAUCCCUGUGGAGGCACACUGACGUCAGCCACACAAUCCACCCAAAACCCCAAACACAAACAUACAAACACACAACUCGCCGCCUCUCAGUGCCAAAAUCACGCCGCGAAGCCCACCCAGACCACAAACUCACGACCACAAACAAGCUCCCUACUCACAUGCGGCACUCCACACUGUUGUCGUGGUUGCAGAAAGGGCAGCUGAACACCGUCGCGAGCUUCUCCUGGCCGCGCCGCGGAGCCGGCUUCGCCGCGCUCUUGCGCUUCCCCAUCUCCAACCUCGACCACUCGAACGCACGCCUCAAUACCUCCUCACCCACCCUCUCUCUCCGAUCGUCAGGAUCACACCGCAAAUUUGACAGAGAGACGAGAACAAAUGGUCACAAGUGUAAGCCAUUCCAGGUUCAAUUUCUCCUUUAUACGCGUCUCCCCCAUACAUACAGUCGUCACCUGUCGGUCUCGACUCUUCCGAAUCUUUCCUGCACCUCCUUCCUGUUUCUCCAGCUCUCAUUCAUCUAUCCAUUUUUCAUCCUCCCUCAUCCGCUUCUGCUGAGAGGGAUUUCUCCUCUGUCGGUUUCACAUCAUCCUUCAACCGCUUCCAACCUCGUUCGUCAACGUCGUUGCCGUGCUGGACGGAACCUUCUCUCCCGUUGGGAACGUGGAACUCGGAUUCGCGAGCGCGCUCCCAUGUGGCUCUAUUGACAUGGGCUUCUUUAGAUUCAUUAUAAGCAAAAAUAAAUUUGAUAAAUAGUGCGUAUGACUUUUUUGCAAAUAGCCAUAAUUCAAGAAAAAUAAAAGGAAACAAAAGGAAACGAAAAUUACUUUCAGGAAUGUUUUGGAUGCACAGAUUACUAGAGGUUUAGUAAUUAUGCCAAUAGGGAAUCAUAUUCAAUGUCAAGAAUUGAUUUUCACUUUGUUCACUUUUUUUUACGUAUGAAAAUAAUGGCUAUAAAUAGUUCCCUUUCAAAUAAAAUUUAUAAUUACUAUUAAGAAUUUUUUAAAUUAUUGAUAGUGUAGAUGCCAUGGGUUUGACGAAUAUUGCAAUUUCUUGGUCGAGGUUGGUGACUCCCAAAAGGACUGAGACAUGCUUUGACAGCUUUGAGUGAUAGAAGAAGAAUCUCACUGACACGCACUGAUGAGCUGAUCCUUUAGGUUACUCCACUACCUUUUGCUUUUUUCCCUUGUUCCAUUGGCCACGUCAGACUGUUUCACUUCCACGUGUAGCUCCACCUGGUCUCAUUUUUCAGCAGCAGGUUGGGGAUGUGGAGUUUGUGCUGGUACCUUCCGUCCUGGACGAGGUGAACCUCACAUUUGAGAGACCAGUAUGGGAGGUUCCGUUUUUCUUCGUCCGACUGCUUGGGAUUGCUUCGUCGGGAUUCAGCACCAUCGUCAGACGUCCGUCACAACUCAGUGCUAUCGACGUCAUCGCCACUUUAGCUUUUGUUCUCUGCUUCGCAGCCUCCUUCUAGUCAUGGGGUCCACGUCUAUUCAUCGCUUCCAGGCUCUACUCCUUGGCUGUCUCCAAUUUUCUCCAAGUUAGGAAUCGUUGAGUUCCCUAAAGCAGAGCAUGUUUCGGAUUGAUUGCUAGUGCCGUCGAAGGUUAGGCGGAGCACUGGAUCAUCGGAUUUUGUGCUUACGACGGUGUUCUACGUGAGUGUGUUGGCGCUAGGGUUUCUGUCGAAAAGUGAGGCUAAUUGGCAUGGCACUUUUGUAUUUGCUCAAUCUCGUGUUAUUCAGAAUUACUGUGGCUGGAUGAUUUGCGGACUUUACGGAUUUAGAAUGUUAGGAGAUUUUUGUGGGGGAUUAUACGGCAGCUUCCUUGUUGAAUUGUUGUGGAGAUGAUUCAUAGUAAAGGAGUUGGGUGGUAAGAAGCGAAGUAAUUCUCGAGAAAUUUCGAGGGACCUCGUUCUGCUAUAAUUACCCCUCGAAAUCUACUAGAUUAGAAGAUGGUUUUACAGUUUGAUGUAGUUAAUUACGAAGAUCUACUGAUUGUUUAUGAUGUGGGAUCUCGCAGGGGAUGCACAUAGUCUCUAUUCAUCACCGAGUAUCAAACUAGUGUGUAAUCUGGUGGCAGCGUGAUUGACGAUGGGAUAACAGGGUGGAGAUAUUUCCAUCUCAUUUGUUUCUGUGGGGAGGCACUGAAAGCCAGCAGGGGAUUGGGGAAAACGGAGAAGAUUUUUGGGAAGGAAAGUGAUACUGUAGAGGAGGAAGGGAAAGCAGGAAGGACGCGGCAGAAUGAGGUUCGGCACUCCCCUGCAGAUCAAGCUUGUGAUUCUGGGUGAUGGGCGUGUAGGAAAGACAUCUCUCGCGCUGCGAUAUGUUCACAAUGUGUUCUCUGAGAAGCAAAUGGCUACAAUUCAGGCUUCGUUCUUAACGAAGCGCUUGACUGUGGAUGGACAAGUUGUCAGUCUUUGCAUUUGGGAUACAGCUGGGCAGGAGCGAUUCCAUGCACUUGGUCCUAUCUACUACCGUGAUGCUGAUGCAGCGCUAUUGGUGUAUGACUUGCUGGACAAAGACAGUUUCGACCGUGUUCAAAGUUGGGUGCGAGAGCUGAAGAAGAUGGCUUCCAAAAAUAUCGUGUUGUCAAUCGCUGGCAAUAAGAGCGACAUGGCUAAGUCGUUGCACGGGAACAUGCAGGACGCUGAGAUGUAUGCAGAGUCAAUAGGGGCAACUCACUUUGUAACUUCUGCAAAACUUAACGCUGGCAUUGAGGAGACCUUCAUGGACAUAGCUCGUCGUGUGAUGCAACAAAGAGCCGCGGAGGGUAUCGAUAACCCUGCCAGUGGUCCGCGACGAAAGAGUGUUGUCAUUGCUGACAAAGAAACUGCAAAUACGCCACCUACUUCUAGGUGCUGUUCGUAGCUGGCGACCUGUAUAUAUUGUAGGUUUUCACCUUAAUUGUUUAGCAAUCUUUUUUCUUUGUAGUCACAUUAUUCUUUGUCAUCGCUGCGACAGUUACUGAGUAAUGGUGGCGUCUCGAUGAGUUGUUUUGACAAUGGCAAGCUUGGUAGAUACAAGCUACGGCACUUCAUGAUAAGACGUGAAAUUCGGAGGUCUGGUUUUUCAUGGAUAGCUUUAAGAACGAAAACUUUUGGUUGUAUUACAUGACAUACUUCUGCCAAGGGAUGUAGCAGGGCACUUGAAGCGCAAAUUAGUGAUUCUGUCUUCUAUUUUUAUUCGAUUUAGCUCCUGUGGUGGGCAGAUAGGCUAAACCUUUGUUAAACGAGGGACCAUUGUGAAGGAAAUAAUAAUAUGCACACAAUUAUGGCUGUGUGGCUCCUGGGUAUGUACAUUAAAGACCGGUGCGCUACAGCAAGGCUCAUGUGGUAUCAAAUGCUUUUCAGUUGAAAGAAUAGGUUGUGAUAUUCAUCCGGCCUAUGCUGUCAUUGUGCUGGUGACAAUUGUACCAUUUUGUGGAUUAUUACUAGACUACUACGACUAAAAGACUUGUGUUCUCUGUGAGUUACUUUUGGCUUAUUUGAGCUCCUCAUUCGUAUUGACCGCCGUCUUAUGUAAUUUACAUCAUAUUGGAAGAGUUGACUCAAUUCCACAUUUAUCAUGAGGAGGCUUAAUUUUGUCUGUCGGGGAUUUGAAGAAGUUUAAUCAAUACUUCUACCCAUUGAUUGUCUCGCUUGUCUCGCUUGUUUGUUUGUUUGUUUGUUUGUUUGUUUUUCUCUCGGCUUCCUUUUCAUUGCAGUGUUGCUGGUUUGCAGAAGAAUUGGCAGGCAUACACAAACAGAUGACGAGCAAAGGUAGUGAACGACAAUUGUGAUGCUUUGUUCCCUGCUGCAGUUGUAAUCACACUCAGCUCUUAGUACUUCUUAAACCUUCGGUGCACGAUUUACAAUGAAGUGUGACUUGUUAUCUGGUGUGGCACAGGCCAAGCGAGAGCUGUAACAUGUGCACAGCAAGUUGGAUGAGGCAUGCCAGAGGCGAAGUUGAUGGCGUUUUCGCGAUUUGAAAGGUUAUUUUAAAACAAAGUGGGUUAGAGAAGUGGGAUAUUGCGGGCAUGGAGUACAGAUGAGAAAAAGAAAAGUUCGCGACGUUACGGCUCACAUCCUUGUGAAUAAAGAUAGUUACCAACUGAAGUCCGCACAACAGUUUCUCUGCGAUGACAAAGCCAUGGCCCCAACCCAUUUCGAGUUCAAAUCUGGGCCGUCACUCCUCUGAGUUUCUAGAGCUUGUAAGUCUUGUCGAUGCGAAAUCAUCUUGAGCUUGCCACGAAUAUGUAGUUCGUGGCAGCAAUAUGGUUAUGAGGCGCUGCAAGGUUUUUGUGCGAAGCAGUUGGGUGGAUUUUCUGGAAAAACGUGCGAUCACGUACAAUACUGUCCCUGCUUGCAGAAGGAAGAAAGAGAAGACGCUGGGCUUGGAGUUGGAACAUGGUCAUCGUUAAACAUGUAGUGGAGUUCGGUUACAGCAUUCCAUCCUUGAGAAGCUUAACUGCGGCUCUUGACAUCUCAGCUGAAUCAGCUAUAAGCACACAUCAUUUGUGGAGCUUAUCUUGCACAGGAGUUUAUUAUCCUCAGGAAGAGCAGAAAAACAUUGAAUUGCAAAACAUGUGAUGUCGCCUGUGGAAUAUCAUCUCACCUCUGUUGUGGAAUCGUGUCUUUGCUAGAGGAAUUGGUGCUGAAGGUGGUCUCAUUAUCCGCGCUCUGAUAUCCUGCAUAUGGUAGUUAGACAUCAACCCCAAGGUGCAGAGCAUCAAAUGCAACAUGUUCAAUACUCACAACGAGGCCAAUAUUUCCAGUGGUUAUUCUGUAUGAGCAGCAACGAAAGGUAACCUACAAAAGCUGGCCUACCCUCGAGGAAUGGAUACAAACAAACAAAUCAAGUUUGUCAGUAAGAAGUGUAUUUACAUACAUAAAAUAAAUUAAAUAAAUAAAUAACUUAAUAUGUCUAUAUAUACAUAUAAGAAAGGGAAAAAAAAAAAAAAAAAAAAAAAAAAAAACUUGUGUAUAGGUAUUAGAUUGUAGUACAUUGUUUGUUAGGGAUAACAUUCUUUAAUUAUAGCAAAAAGUUUUACAAAAAUAAUAUAGGUGUGCAAACCAAACAUAGAUCUUAAACUCGUCUUUAGAUUAAAUUAGAUAUUUUUGUAACAGUAACGUUAAUGAUUUUAGUAAUUAUUAUUAUUAAUAUAUUUCUUUAGUCAAAGUAUUGUAAGUGUUUUAUGAAAUGUAAAUAAUUUAGAUAGUAGACUAUCCAUGGUAUAUUGUUCCUCCUUUUAAAUUAUCUACAUAGAUUUAUUUAUUUAUUUAUUUCCAAAUUUUCUAUAUUAUCAUGCUUAAGUUAAUAUUCCCUACAAAGUAAGCACAUCAAUUUGAAUAAAAGUACAGAAGAUUUUUUUCAUAAAAUGGAUUCUUUGUAUUUUUUUAUAUUUAAGCAAGAGUAGGAACUUACUUAACAAGCUCAUUCUAAGGUAUGCAUAUUCAUUAGUUCUUUUUAUAGUUUCUUUUUAUAGUUAUUAAAAUAUUCAAACAGAACUUAUUUUGUUACAAGAUAUACCAUUAAGAAUCUUGUUUAGAAAUUAUUAUAUUUUUAGAAUUUACAAACUUUAACCUUACAAUUUUUUGCUACAUAACCUUUGAUAGUCAAUGUUAAGGAUGCUUAUAUCCUCAGUAAAAAUUCUACCAGCAUCUUUUGACGUUCAUUCUUAACAUUAGCAAUAUCUCUUCAAAUAUGGUAAUGAAAUGAUUGCUAAACACUUUUGUUUGUAAUGCAAUUUUAAAUUCUAAAAUUUUAAAAUAUGAAUAUCAAGCUGUUGAACACUUCGUCAAGGAAUUCUUCAGGGCGAUGAAAUAUACCACAAAAUGUGAAGGCAAUGCAAAAGAGGAUAAGUCUAGGCAGAGUGUGGUGAUGCACAGUAACGAAAAGACAAAUCCAGCAUUGUAAGAAACUAUUCUGACUAUAGACCCUGUAUGCCAGGUGUGAGUGUACUAGAAGGAUAAAUGUCAUUGCUCAAUCUGGCUUGUCCAAAUUGAAUGCCUUAUCCAUAAAUGGUGUGAAGCAGAUUGAGUUCAAGUUGAUUAAAAAACAUUACAGAACUCGGUCCAUUUCAACAACGCAAGCUAUUCACAUAUUUUACUCGUUUGUACACGUCAUUAUACUUGCUACGCCAUACCAUUAAUCUACACACUCAAAUACAGCCGAGGAUCCAGUCCCCCGCUAUAUUCACUAGCAUAAGAUGUCAACAUUUUUCACUCUAAGACAUCGAUUCAAUGUCAUUCACCAGCGAUGACGAAUCAAGCUGGCGAUCUUAACCCUGCAACUCAUUGUGCAAGAGAGGGAUCGGUAACACGACCCGUGAAAAUUACCACAUUCGAAUGCUCUUCCUUAAUCACGAACAUAAACGGAUGGUCGCACACAAACUCCACCGGAUCAUCAGUGUACAUCUGCAGGCUUUUCGCGGUGACUGUUAGUGCUGUAGCUGCGGCUGCUUCAGUCCCCUUCUCAUUAACCUCGACAAAAGUCUUGUGGUAUAUAUUGGAGACAUAGAGCUUGUCAGACACGGGGGAGUCCAGCAUCUCAGUCAGAUCUGCUUCCCUUCCAAACGGCAAGGUUAACCCCAUGGAUUCCAAUGCCUUCGGUACCUCAAACCCUGAGGAGAUUUUGAACUUCGGGAGCUCGAACUUGCUCACGGGUAACAACUGCUUGACGUGCUGCAGAUCUUCUGCCAAAGUCUUCGCAUCUAGAGCUUUUUCCAACUCGACUAGCCCGUACUUCUCACUUGGCAAAAGAAUGAACAUCGAGAAUAAGCGUUCGUCGUGGCCAGCGGAGUAUGGUAAGCGAAGAGCCUUGAAAGUGGGAAAAGAUUUCACAUACUGCCUCUGGGAUGUGUGCAUCAUGGACACUUUUAUUGUCUUCCCAUCCAGCAAGUAGAAGUCCUCUUCUCGGGUGUGGUAAUCGUCAAAUUGUUUCUUCCAUGCUCCCUUGAAGUAAAGCGCGUUAGCUAACACAACGCGUGUGUCGUGGUCCACUGAACCUGCAGGAAGGAGAUUCUCAAUUUUCCCGUGCGUCUCGUCUUUCGCCCAUUUAUUUACUUUUGCUAGAGCUUCAGCGGCCUGCACACCACCAGCUUAUUGGUUGAUUUCAAUGCACAAUCACAUUUUGGGAAUUUAAUCAACAAUUUUAGAUGCGACUUCGUGAUGGUUCGGAUUGCAGCCAGCGUGUUACAUAGGCUGCAGUUCAAGCUCAAAUUUACCAAGCAUAUGAUUCAAUUCUUGCAGGGAACAAGCUUCUAAUUGUGCUGCGCCAAUUCUGGGAAUCUCAGUUCCAAUAACAUUGCAACAGUCUGUGAACAAGACAGACCGACGUGAGGUCUGGUCUUGGUCUACAACAAGAGCACGAUUUAUGCCUGUAUUCACGAAAUGGUUCUAUGUGGCUCAUUUAUCACCUGAAUUGAGCUUUUGAUAUAAAAAAUUAUAAAACAAAUCAUUCGAGGAAUUGGGAGCAGUGAAGCAAGGUAGGGUUUGUGGAGACGCAGGAAGAAGGAAAUUAAUUUCAGUACCUUAGAGAUGAAGUCUACCGAGGCAGCUUCAGAUCCGUAGCUCUCCUGAAGAAUUUUCUGGAAUGCAGGUUUCAGUUUCACUGAUUGCUCCACCCACAAACGGUUGGCGAGUGCCAACUCCGGUCCGCCAUCGCCCUGCUGAUUAGAAAGCACAGUCUUCCUCAAAUGCGAGGAGAAAUCGUGUAAUGGUUUGCCUUGCGGGAGCUUGAUGCACUUGGAAAUCUGCUCUCUCGUCGGUCCCUUUGCCCCUGCCGUCAACAUCGCUAAUGCCAGAUCAACGCUAAGAGGCGACAGAACCACAUUUUCGCUCUCCUUACCCUUAACCAAGGUUUUGUACAAGUCAACCGUGAACUGGGUCUGACCAGCUACCGAAGCUGCCACGUCCAUUUUCGAUAACGUCGAAGGCUUCUCACCCAACCUGCACGAUCGGCACAAUAGAAUACUCAAGAUUUCCACACAACAACCAUCAAUUCAAGAGAAUGAAGCAAACAAUCACAUGAGUCAACAUCCAGAACUCAUUACCUAAACCAGCUCAAAAUCUUCUUACGAACACUGAAUCCCUCAUUGGGGUAUCCCAUCUGUAAAGUCACAACAAAAGCACAAACAGCCCCGCAAAGCGCAACAACACCCAAACCACUCAAGUUAUUCAUUUCCACCCUUAGCAAACAAUGGCUAUCAAAUCCACAGACGGACCUUAACAAAAUUUACAGAUACGCGAAGCACUCCAACAAAAACCACCUCGAGCUUGUGAAUCAAGUACCCAUUCGACAGAUCACAGUAUACUCCACACAAGUCAUGGUCUAGGAUGGGGAGCACCAAUUGUAUCUCGCAGAUCCAGAGACUGAGUUACAUGGCGCAGCCUCUCACAGACAUGACAGGAUUUCCUCGUGCUGCCACGAAUACCGAGCUGCUGUUCACUGUUUGGCAUACCCUCAGGGAAUCCAGAUUAUCUUGGAAUUAAUCCAGUUAUGUCGUGUCAUGUAAACCCAGCUCGUUUGAAUGGAAACCAAUCGUGGGUAGACAGCGGUGCAUCUCGCGUCAGUAGUUAACGGAGCUUCGGCAGCAUGCUUCAUGUGAGCUGAUGCAAGUUUGAAUCUCGACUUGUCUUGUGCUUCCUACGUCUGCAUAGACGACGGAUAUCGAGAAUCCGCCUCUGUCUCACGCCACUCUUGUGUGUGCUUCCCAUUCCCACAAAGAAGAUGUCUUCCAUAAAAUAAAAUAAAAUACAACUGGGAAGGUGGGAUCCAACUUGGACCUAUGCAGCACAAACCUAGUGGUUGAAUGAGCAUGUGAAGAAAGAAUUAGUCUCUUUUUUGUGUUUUGACACAGUUGGAGUAAUCCAUGGUUGUGAGGGUUGGUGACACAUUGUUAAGAUUUUAUGAUUGGAUUUUUCAUUGUUUAUUUUUUCGGGUUGGGUGCAGUUUUGUCAUCUUUUACUAGUUUGAGGUUAUUUUGGACUAAGGAAAAAGUAGUUUUACAUGAAAGUUGGAAGAUAUGUAUAGCUCUUUCAACUCUCAUGUUAAAUUAAUUAAAAAUGUUAAACAAGAAAUUUUCAAACAACAAUCAUAUAUUAUUUUUAGAUAAUUAUUAAUGCUACAUCCUCAAUUGACAUUUCUACACCCCACAUGACCUCCUUGUAGACAACUAGCUAAUAAUAUGCACCUUUCUUUUGCACAAUUUUUGCUUUGUUUGCUUAAAGAAAGGAUGGAGGUUGACAUGGAGACAAUGAAUAUUUUAUGAAAAAAUAGGUUGUGAAUUGGUUUUUUAAAAUAAAAUAUUUUUCUUACAUUUUAUUUAUUAAAAAAAUUACUAAUUAAAAAAUAUUUUGUUUAUUUAUUUAUUCUAUUUUGAAUCAAUAUUGGGGUUUAAUAUUAGGCUAUUAUGGACGUGCUAAGCAUAGAAGCAUGUUUUUUAGUCAAUUUAAAUGGUGUAGAGGUCACAUAGGAUGUAGCAAUAUCAAUUGAAGAAGUAGCAUUAACAAAUUUUUAUUAUUAUUAUUUUUUAUUUAAAUACUAAAUAUGAUAUUGAUCAAUAGCUAUAACAUUAUUAUUGUAUGUAUUGAAUGCUAUUAUAGACCUUAAAUUGUGGUAGAUACUAAGAUUGCAAAAAAAAAUAUUUUUGCAAUAAAAUAUUUUUAAUAUGGUAUUAUUGUAUUAAAAGAAGAUUAUCUUUAUAUAUAUAUAUAUAUAUAUAUAUAUAGUGUGUGUGUGUGUGUGUGUAUGUGUGUGCAUGUGUAUGAUAAGGAAUUAUAAAAGUAAAUAGAUUAUGGAGGAUUGACAUUAGUAUUAAGUAAUAUGCAUUAUAAAAAUAUUUUGGUUAAUAAUAAUUAUCAUUUGUAUGAUUUUAUAUUUUAUUUUUAUUAAGUAUAGAUAUGUAAAUAUGGUUAUUUAAUGAUACUUGCUUAAUGUUAGUAGGAGUAUAGGUGGCAAAUCUAUUCCAAGUUCCUUCUUUUAUUUAUUGCUACACCCUAUGUGACCUCCACAUGACUUAAAAUGCUCUAAAUUUUACAAUAACAUUAUAAAUGAACCAAAAACUUUAAUUUGCAUAUAAACUAAUUAAUUAAUUAAAACCUCUAUGUGUAUCUUUUAUGUCUAAGAAUGCACAUGAUUAUUUUAUUGAUUUUCUAUUUUUUAUGUUCCAAACUAAUGCAUAUGCAAAUUAAUUUACAUCUAUAAUUAGUUCUAGUAGAAGGUGUUAAAAGUUAAGUAUUUUUUAAAAUCUGUAAACUUUACAAUAAGACAGAAAAACACACUAUAAACCUGAAUUGAUUCUCGUUACAUGCAACUGUUUGAAUUGAAUUCAGAUACUGCACAUUGUACAUUAAUUAGUUUCUCCCAACCCACUAUUAGAAAAAGAAAUGGGCUUCCUUACCUUCCACCGCAAGUGCUUGCUAUCUACAUACAAGGGGCCUUUGAAUGAACAGCAAGAUCUACCAUGUGAGCAACAGACAAAGGUAGAGUGACGGACUUAUAAGUUUUAUCCCCUACAAGCAACCAUAUCGGAAUCGUUGACAUGACUAUCCACCUGGUACCAGAAACUUUCACUUUGAUCAUAAGCAAAAUAGCAACAUAAAAAGAGUUCUACACAUUUUGUGCAUACAAUUCCUCACAGUACCCCUUCAAACUUUCUUCUGUCCCUACCUAUUUAAACGCCUACAGCAUAUUUCUAGAGCAUUGGCACACUUUUGAUAUAAUUGUUCAGACAUUCAAGCGGAUUGCAGUCUUCAUCAAAAUUCGGCUGAUUGUGUUAACUUAGCUCCACAAACAGAAGGGUCACAUUUUAGAUCAUGUGAAGAAUUGACUUCGCUAUGUGAAUCCGAGACGUCUGACUAGUUCUCAGAAUGGGAUUAAUGUAGAUGAGCAGUAUGUGACAAUAAUGACAAUCAUCUCUGGUCACAAGCAUUCACAGAACGUUUUGUAAAAAAGAUAUGCGUUGACUGCAUAAUCAAUAACUGCAGCAAUGGUCUUGGAUAGUGCCUUCAACCAAGAAUGCUUGGAAAUCCUUUGGAGACAAUUUCGAUAACCUACUGCGCGCUCCAUCUAUGUCCACAGCCUCUGCAACUAUUUCCAUUUGUGGAGGAAAGUCCAGCUGUCCAAAAACAAAGUACUGUAACAAAGUUCACAUACUAGCAUUCGUCUAAUAAUUCGUUAGGUUUAAAAGACCCAUCAUCUUCACAAAUCACCAAUCGUCGUCGAGUAAUUCAAGAUUGAGUCAUUUGAAUUUAGAAGUCGUGUAACUCGAGUAAAGUAGAGACAAAUAAAUCCAUCUAUCUCAAAGUACCCAAAGAGAGACAAAGGUCUUCUGCUGCUGAGAUUAAGAUUUAAACCAAAAGAAAACCCUGGUACAUGAAUCCGAAUAUUAGAAACAAGGACAAGUUAUUCUCCAAGGCUAGAUUAAGCCACCUGCCAGCAACUCUCAGGCAAUGUGGCCCGUAAACCUUUCGAAUUUCCGAAUGAGCUCGUUUGCAUCCUGGUCGAUGCAGCAUCUGAUGACAGCACUCAAUCAGCACUCCAGAAUACAAGCUCACAAAGAGCUAAUUUGUUGCUCAAUAACCAAAACCAAAACAUGAUCGCCGAACCUAUGCUUGAAACUGACAGCAUCGAUUACAAACCUGUGUCAAUAUUGCAGCGCACAUGCCAGCAGCCACAGCUGAUAGCACAUUCGUUCCAGUGCUCAUCUUUGAUACUUCAGCUUCGACCAAAUGUCACUGGUUGAAGAUGCUGAACUAAAGAAAUAAAAUUACGAAACGAUUCACUACAGAUUCUUUAUGCCACGAUGUUCAUACAGACAUCGGGUCCUUUCCUCUCCAUGAAUGCCUGCCUUCAGAUCCUUUCUGUAGGGUCUUAUUGAAAUUGUAGUCGCACACGAAGGUGUUCAAUUGCAGCAACGACCAAUACUGGGAAUCCAAGUUAGAAUGAGCAGCUGAAAAUCUAGACUAUGCCAUAAAAGUUGGGGUGUAGAGCGUUGACUUUAGUGAGUCCCGGCGACCAGAAGUUGAUGAAAAGAGGAUGCAAUGUCUUACCAAAGUGAGGACCAGCACAUUUGAGUGCUGCUUCUCAAGGAUUACAAGGAUUGACUCGGAAGCCAAAUAGAGCUAGGAUCUUGACCAUGAUUUCUAGCAGCCCACACUUUCUAACAUGAGAAAACAGUGAACUACCUGUAAUGAACGCAACUCCCCUUGUAGAAGAGUUGACUGAUAAAAUACAGUUGAUAAAGACGCGAGCAAUGUUUAACCAAUUCAUUCAACAGUUCGUGAAGAAUUGCGAGUGGUUUCCUUGGUAUCAAUCACCAGGAGCGGCUGUAUUGAAACGAAACACUUCCGCUCAGGCUUUAUAUGCAUAAAAAGACCCUUACAUGGGAAUCUCCGUGAGAGUCUAUGCACAACCUACUGACUAUUCUAAAUCCCCCGUAGUUCUAAAAGUAUAAAAUUGACUCUUCUGUUUUCAUCACAAGACCAGAAACGAUAGUCAAAUGUUCCACGUUGCCAACUAAGAUGCACGUCCGGACAAGGGGAAGAAACAACCUCCACUCCAACAAUGUGUUCGAGCCGCCCAAAAAUUACUAAGCUGGCACAAGUAGGCAGAGUGGUACAUCAGAAAGAGAGUACUCAGGAGAUGGCUUUCUGAAUCUCCUGAGUGACGACAUUAGCUGGCUUCGCAGCUUCAAUGUUCCUCACGACACCCUUUUUCAGGUAGUACUCAAUGACCUGAACGUAACAAAAUACUCACAUGUAAGAACAAUCGAUAGGCAUGAACAGCUGGCAACGAAGUGAUACGAAAUCAGCAAUAGAUCCAAAUCAGACUUAUUAUUUCCAGAUUUUACUUGCAUUGCUGAUCAAAUCAAACCAAAUUAAUUUGCAUCACUCAAGAAUGUACAUCAGCUUUGAGUACGCGAAGAAAACCCUUGCAAGGUACAAGCUCUAGCUGGAAAAGAAAACCAUAAUACGCAGAUAUGAAAAAGCAAAACAAAACUCACGGGUGUGGUCUGUUCGUGGAACGACGAUAGCCUCUUCUUAAGCACUUCCACAGUGUCAUCCUUGCGCUGCAACAAAGGCUCUCCAGUAAUCUGCCGACCACAAGUCAUACACAAAUUCAAGACCUUGAACUUGCUCUGUGACAAGACGAUCUUACGCCCACGCAUUCGAGACUAACGCCCUUCUCUCCAGAUGAAAACUAAUACAAGAUGCUAGCGUUCCUUCGAAUAGAGUCCAACCAGUCACUCUAAAAACGCUGCGAAGAAUCUGUGUGUGUGUGUGUGUAUACAUUUAUUACGACUAAAUGUAAAAAAAACAUGUCAAGAUUUAGAGAACGUAAAACUUACGUCAUCACGGCCAGGCACCUUCGGGGGUGCAAACUUGGAGUGAUAAGAUCGGCCACUAGCGGGGUGAAUCCACCGCCCAGUAAUACGCUCUUCAAGGACAGAAUCUUCAAUCUCAAAGUUCAGAACCUUGUCAACCUUUACGCCUUGCUUCUCAAGAGCGGCAUCCAACUGCAAAGGAGCACGGUAGAUGUCACUAACGGUGACAAAACUAGUAACUCCAUUGAGCUUCUAAUAGCUCCGAUCAUAAAACUCUAAAAACCAGAAAAUUUUCAAGAGAAAGGUUAGAACAUUCAUGCCUUCUGUGCUUGGACAACAGUGCGGGGGAAGCCAUCAAGAAUAAAACCCUUUGAACAUGACGGCCGUUUCAAAGCCUCCUCGAUAAUUCCUACCACUAAGUCAUCGGAAACCAGCGCGCCCUGCCAAUCAACUUCCACCUCUAUCAACACAUGCUGUUAUACCAGAACUAUGUCGAGCAAAUUCUACCGAUGGCUUUCUAGUGCUUUUACGCCAUUCACAUCAACUAGCAUAAUAUAGUUCUCAUUGAAAUAGGAAGUUAGUAGUAACCUGGUCCAUAGCAGCCUUGGCUUGUAACCCUAAAGGCGUCUGCUUAGCUACCGCUGCGCGCAGCAUGUCGCCCGUGGCCAAAUGGCACAGGCAGUGCUCCUCCUUGAGAAUGGGCGAUUGGGUUCCCUUCCCACAUCCCGGAGGCCCUAGAUGACACAAUACAAAACAAUAACAAUCAAACACAAAACUAAACAAAUACGAAAAACCAAAUCAGCAUUCAAAUGUAACAACCACGGUUAGAAAAUGCUCGCUAGGCAUUCUACGUUUUGCAACCCAGAAAUCUCAAAACACCUGAAACCCAAAAGCGUGCAUAUACCAACAAGGAUGAGGCGCUUCUCCUGUUUGGGGGCACACUUCAUGCGGCGCAGAAGCUCAUGGAAGAGCACAUCGUUGGGCACAUCCUCCAGAUUAGCAGCAGCGGCAGCCAUGGCGUGGCCCGGGGGUUGUGAAACAGGCGAGCUCGCGACGUAGCGACCCCAGCAGCGUGGUAUGAUGAGGGUUGGAUUAGAAGAAGCCUCGUAAUGGAAUCGACAAGUGCGUCCCGGGACACAUGAGAGAGAUCAAGCGAGUGAUUUGGUGCUCGUGACGAACGAUGUUUUGACAUUUUUGCCUUUUCGCUCUCCGCAAAAGGUUGCUCUCUUCCCGCGGUAACGGCGACGAAGCACCUCACGUCGUGUGUUGGCGUCACAGGAUUUGCCUGUCCCGCGCGUCCGCGUCACUUUUCAACAGAUUACUUUUUCACAAUCAGCCGCAUACAAUGUGCAACGUCGGUGCACCCAAAUUCGUUGUUGGAAUUGUGCAAGUUUGGAUGUACAUUAUGUGUGUGUGAGUUUUUUUGAAUUUGAAUUUGAAUUUGUAGAGUGCCAACUUCCAAGAGAUUAGAUUAUUGUGUAUUCCUCUACAAAAUCAACAAUGAUUCUCUAUGAUUUUAGAAUAAUUUUGUGUUUAAUGAAUGUGGAUAGUCCAUUUGAGUCUAUUUGCAUUUAAAUUGUUAAUUUGAAAGCACUUGCAUGAAUUUUUAGCAUAGAGUGUAUAUAUUGUAAGAAAAAAAAAAUCAUGUAUAUGUAUAUACAUACAUAAGAAUGUUAAAUAUAUCCAUGCUUUUACUAAAUUGACAUGAUAUAUAUAUAUAUAUAUAUAUAAUCAUGUUUUUAUUAAAUAUAUGUAAAAUAAUUUAAAGAAUAACACAUGUAUUUUUUAAAAGCCAAUUUUAGAUAUUUAUAUAAAUAAAUAGAUAUUUCUUGAGAAAAAAUGAUAAAUUUUCUAUCCAAUUAUGUAAUAUGCUUAAAAUUUUAAAAUAAUUGCAUAAAUAUUUUAAACUUUUAAAUUAUGAUUGAUAUAAAAUAUAAAUAAAUAUAAAUAGUAUAAUAAUAGAUAAUUCCAAAUAUUGGCUCUUUUAGGCUUAAAUUACAUUAAGGUUGAUUAUAAUUUAUGUGUGAUUCUUAUAACCUUAUUUUACUUAGUUAUAUAAUUUCUAAAAUUCACAUCUUGUUACAUUAAAUCAAAAUUAGAUAAAAUGUUCAACUUAAUGCAAAAAAAUUAAAACAAAUAAUAAUAGGAUAUUAUUUUAAAUUUAACUUUGUAAAUAUUGAUAUAUAUAUAUAUAUAUAUAUAUAUGUAUAUAUAUUGCUUCAGAAGCUAUUUAAUAUUAAUAAUAAAAAAAUAAAUAUAAAAAAUCAAAGAAAUACAAAAAAUUAUAAUAUAAUACUAUACACAAGAUCAAUAUAUAUAUAUAUAUAUAUAUAUAUAGAUAUACAUAUUUGGAAAUUUUCAAUUUGUUUUUGGAAAAAAAUAAUGUGUCUCUUCUUCUUUAUUUUAUUAUUUAUUUAUAUUACAUCAACCAAGUGUCAAGGACAAGAACUUAAUGAAGGAAAGUAAAUAAGUGAGAUUUUUUUUCAAUCUACCAAUUACCUAUAGAUACACAUAAAGGUGAAAUUGUGUCUAUGAAGCUUCUCUACAAGAUAUUAUCAAAUAUAUCUAUUUUUACCUACUUCUACCUAUUAAUAGUAUCUAAGUGACUAUUAAAAUAAAUAUGUAUGUAUGUGACACCAAAUUCUAUGAUUUAUUUAUUUUUUAAGUUUUAAGAAUUAUAUUUUAUUUUAGGAAUAUAACCAAUUUUCUAUAAAUACUUCAAAUUUUCAAUACAAGAUCCAAAAAACUAUAAUUUUUUUAAAAAUUAAAGAAAAAAUUUAGAAACUUCUAAAUAGAUAAAAAAAAAUUAUAAAUUUAUAUAAAAUUCUAAAAGUUUCUAAAAAAUAAUUUAAAUAUGUAAAAAAAAUAUAAUAAUUUUUUUAUGAAACUUUAGAAUAUUUUAUAAUAUCUUAGAAAUUUUUUUAUAUUUUUUUAUAUUCUUAAUAUUUGAAUAAAAUAAUAGGAUUCUUAUCAAAGUUAUAUUGUAAAAUUUGUUAUCUCAACAUCUAUGCAUCACCUUGAUAUUAAUGCUUGUGUACAUUUGAAAUGCCAAAUACAUAGAAGAGAACUAAUUUUUGGAAAUCUUUCAUUACAAAAUAAAUUCUAUUGAGACGUUACCAAUAAAUAUUACAACAACUACUAUCUAAUCUUUUUAUGAAAAUAGAUAUGGUAAUUUGUAAUUUUGGGAGAAUAUUCAAUUAAAUGAUGGAUUUAAAAAUAAAUAAAAAAAUCAUCGUUGUUUCACACUGUUAUCAAAUGUGGCUCUAAUGAAUAUUAUUAAUAGUAAUUUAAAUUCCAGAACCCAUAUUCUGUAAUAUCAAUGUUGUGCAGUCUAGAAAUUGGUCAUAAAAAUAGACUUUGUCUUGAAAUAUUUUAGCACAUUGUUACAUAGUCUCAUUUGCAAUCACAAUCCAAACAUUGCAUCACAGAGAUGUUAAAACAAUUGCAAUCCAAAUGCAUUUAUUCAUUGCUUGUUGUCUUCCCAACCCACAUACAAAUUUAUUCUUGUUUUGUUUUGAUGUUUUGCCUUUUCGAUGGACCUUUUAAAUGCUCAUUCCUACAAUCAAGCCCAUGGUGAUAGAAAACUGCCAGGUCAUGGCUCUCCUAAAACCAAAGGUCAAAAUAUGGUUUUCUUAGUUGCAUAUAAUCAUAUACAUAACUUUAAUUCUAAAUCAUUAUAUAUUAUAUAUUAUAUAUUACCAUAUCUUCUACUUAUAUAUAUAUAUAUAUAUAUAUAUACAUAUCAUGUUGUUGUAUUUAUUCUGUAUUUAUUUUUUUCUUAUUCUUUUUGUUACAUUUUAUAAUUGUACAUAUUUCUAUUUAUUCAUGCAUGUUAAUUCUAAGAUUAUGAGUGCUUUUUGAAUAUGUAUAUGCUUUCUUUUGGGGGGGGUUUUUUUUUUUUUUUUUUUUUUUUUUUUUUCAAUUUUAUAUUUUAUCAAGAAAUAUUUUCUUGAAUGAUUAUUGUUUAAAUGAUUUUUAUUGUGAUCUAUUUUUGAAUUAUAUUUUAUUAUUCAUCAAUAAUUCACGUUCAUAUAUUACUCUGCCAACAAAGCAAGGUCCUCUAAUGCUAAGGUGUAUAUAUAUACAAACACAUGCACAUACUCAGCUUAUUCAACAAGUGAAAGGUUUUUAAGAAAACCAUUUUUUUAGAAAUUACCAAAUCAUAUUCCUAUUUAAAAUAUUUCACAAUCUAUUAAAAAUCUGUGUUUAGACGGUUAUUUGUUUAUUUCAAUACAUGCAGUGUGUGUGAUAGUAAUCAUGAAACAAAUGCCAGAAUCCAGAUGCCUUUUGUUUCAUAAUUACUAUCGUGUAUUUGUUGCAAGUGAUUGAAUUAGAAUAAUCACAAUCAAUCAAAAUUAAAUUUCUAUAAAUUUUCAAACAAAAGAAUGACACUAUCAUGUGGUCAAACUUCAAAAUUACAAACCAUUAGGAAAGAAACCGAUCCAAAUAGAUGUAAAUUGUGCCAAAAGGAUCGUAAAUAAGAAUUGAGAUUGAGCAAGUGAGCAGAAGACAGGCACAACAUAACCCACCAAUAAAGUUUCUCAACCAUCAGACUGUAGAAGGCACCCGAUUGAGGACAUGGAUAGACACCUGGAAAGGGGAUCUGAUUAGUCACACGGGAUCUGAAGUUGGCCCCUGGAGGGACCCUCGCCGAGGUUUGCCCUAAAGCAGGCCCACGCCCUCGUUCUCCUUCUCUUUCGACGGGCGGAGGUUCUACAGCAAGCGUCGCGCUUCGCCUCUCCCUCUUUCGUCCUCGCACUCUAACCUUCGCAUUGCCACCCGCUCUUCCAGCCUCUCACCAUGGGGUAUGUUGUGUCUGUUCGUCUUAUUUCAUCUUUUGAAUCUCCACUGUGAAAGUUUUGGAGAAGAUUUUCGAGAGCUGUGUGUUUGGUACUUCACUUCGGGGUUAGGGUUUCGUUGAUUUGGCUCGUUGGAUGGGUUAGGAGACGAGCUGAGACUAAACAUGGAUUGGUGUGGGGUCCGUGUUUUGUUCGUGCAGUAAGACACGGGGUAUGGGAGCUGGGCGUAAGCUCAAGAACCACCGCAGGGCUCAGUUGUGGGCUGACAAGUCCUACAAGAAAUCUCACUUGGGUAACGAGUGGAAGAAGCCAUUCGCUGGUUCCUCUCACGCCAAGGGUAUCGUUCUGGAGAAAAUGUGAGUAUGAUGUUUAUGACUUAUAUAAGUUUUAGAGUGACCAGUUUCUGGGAGUAGUAGUAUUUAUUAGGGUCAAAUGCUGUGUAACUGGCCUUGUUUCAUUGUAAUUGAAUUUGCCAACCUUAGCAGUUUCAUGCAUUUACGAAUUCCAGGCUCUUCGAUGGACUGAGAAGUUCGCAGGUGCUUCAAAGGCCGAAUUCACAUAGUGAUUGAUUUGUCAUCGCUUGGUUAGUACAAUCAAAUGUGAACCGUCACUUCGUGGUCACAUUGCAAUCGUUGGUAUGGAAUGCGUAUUCUAAUGAAAUGUAAAUUGUUUGACAGUGGUAUUGAGGCCAAGCAGCCCAACUCUGCAAUCCGUAAGUGUGCCAGAGUGCAACUUAUUAAGAACGGAAAGAAGAUUGCUGCCUUCGUUCCCAACGAUGGUUGUUUGAACUACAUUGAGGAGAACGUAAGCAUUCUCGCUGCAUUAUUCCUGUCAUGGCCUCUAAUUGUCUAUCUGUAUCGCCCACAUCAAUGUCGCAUGUUCUCAUCUGUUUGAUAGCAUUUUCUCUUGGUCUCAUCAUAUGUAUGUAUAUAUUUUUCUUCUUUUCAGGACGAAGUGCUUAUUGCGGGAUUCGGUCGUAAGGGGCACGCUGUCGGAGAUAUUCCCGGAGUCCGUUUUAAAGUGGUGAAGGUAUCUGGUGUAUCUCUUCUGGCUCUUUUCAAGGAGAAGAAAGAGAAGCCACGAUCGUAGAGGAUGUUCAAGGUGCACCUUUUUUUUUAUCUGUAGUUGGUCAAGAAUGUGAUGCAGUGCAUUGAACUUGCGUUCAUGCUAACACAGUCUGUCAAUGGGAUGAGCGAGCUAUUGAACCUAUUCGUACGGCAUGUACUUUCGCGCGUUUAUUAUUUGAGCACUGCUUAAGCAACUACGAGCACAGAAACCUGUUUCGUGCAAGCCGUGAUUCAUGCAUGUUGUUGAUGUAGGCAUCGGCCGCAUAUUAGGUUUGCCACUGGCUACUAUUGUUAUUGCUUUUCCGAAUGCCUUGCAUUUUGAUCAGUUAUUGUCCCUCAUAAAUAAUGCCAAUUGUGUACACUCAACAUUGCAAAGCUCUCAGAAGCCAGAAGUAAGUACGUUAACCAGAUAACUGAACUAGCACAUGCAUUUCAAACGCAAACAGCUAGCCACUAUUGCAGUAUUGGAGCUUUUUGUCACACGCCGCAGUGUAACAGAGAUAUGCAUUUGGUAGAAACUCGCGCAGCACUGUGUAGGUUCCGAUCGGAUGAGUAUGGUUUCUUGGAUCACCAUGGCCAGCAGUAAUCUUCAAUGUCACUACAUGCUAAAUGGUGAAUGUGAGUUAGAAAAGCUUCCAGCCGCUGAUAAUCAGUGAUGCUGAAACAUAGCGAUGCAGGGGAAGGUUUCCUGUGUACUUGUUUUUCUUCUUUGUUUCGCUGGAAACUAGACUGUCAAUGCAUGUUGAGUGAUGUAGAUUUCUUAGAAAAGAAGAGAUUUUGACAACUCUCAAGGGGUCUUGUAGAAGAGGAGGUGCAAUCAGUAUGUAAGCAUUUUACCCCUGUGCUGUUUGCGUGCUUUAACAUGUGUACCCAGCCAUUCUUCAGCGGUGAUGUGAAGAAUUCCUGCACAUGUGAUCCACCUUAUCUGAACCUUUUUUACACGGCACACGAAGGAAAGAACCAUGUAAGAGUGGUUACACAAAUGACGGUGCAUGCUGUACUCUGGUUAGAUCAUUCAAUACUGAAAUAGAAGGCAGAAAUGAACAAACGAAUUAACGUAGCUCACAAUUAGCCACCACAACCGCAAUAUGAGUUUCAGGAAGUUAUUUAUCCAAGUUUCAAGGUAAGAGCCACACCAUGACUGUUACCUGCAAGAGGAGAGAGAUUUCUGAUGGUCUUUAACUGCUUGAUUGGGUCGGAGAGAAGAGACGAAAUCUUAGUAAAAAACCCAUGAUUGGCCGAUAAAAAGCACGCAGGUUGGACAAUAGUCACGUGCACAAGAAUUGCAACAGUGGUGACAUGAUAAUAAUCAUCGACGUCUUGCACGGUUUAACGACACUAUCAACCCACACAGCGCAAAUGUAUCACACCUUCUGCGCAGCCUAAAAAAAAUUAAAUUCACACACUGACUUAAAAAAUUCUCCGUUAACAAACCCUCAUUCGAAGUCAAGACUAACCCACCUGGGUCAAAUAUCUUUUGGAGACCUAUUAAUGCUUGAAUUGCCUAGUCUGCAGUACCAUAAGUUUUCAGGGAUUGAAAUUUGAGUGGCAUUUAGACUUUCCUAGCUACUAGACCCUGUUGUGCAGCAUGUGAUCCAGUGUGGUCGUUUAGCGAGGCACUUCGGAAGAAUGCGCGACUAACACCCGGCUUCACAAUUCAAUACUAACUUCCUAGUGACAGUCAGAGUCGGCAAUCCACAGAAGCUAUCGCAGAAGUAAUCCAGGUUGGGUUGGCCAAAUCGGACCAAAGGGACACGGAUGAUGUCGCAAACAACGUUCACUCAUUCAAACCACAACUCAUAGUUUUCGGAUAUCCUCAAACGCUCGCUGAGUUUUGCGAUAGAAAACACUUUGAUGAAUGCUGCUCGAAACAGAACCCAACUUUUAGAUUAGAUGUGCGAACCACCGAUGCAGGUGAUGGCACGGAUACAAGAAUCAGUUACUGAAGAUGAAAUAGUCUGAAGACAAAUUCUAAUACACAGAUGCCUUCAAAUACAAUUCCAGAAGUCUUUUUCGUGAAUUUCUACAGCUGCCGAAAACUAACAAUAAUCGUGUCAAAGUCGCACGCAAUGGUCGACGAAUGUCUUGGGCACUGUUACUUUAGACGGCGCCUACUUCAAAAACCCUAACACUGGUGAUCUCAGUCACAACAAUGAAAGUACAGCGAGGGAUUUUCUCACAAUUCUCACCUCAUGGAGCAUUCUAGACAGAUACUGGUAAUUCAUGCUAAAACCAACCUCCUGGUCGAACCUCUCAUCCUCCUGGCAACCAAAAUCCCAUCAACAUCAACAGCAAUUGCAGGCCAGGAUACCCCGAGUUAGACGACACCACGACUUCCACAUUCCGCCCAGAUUCGACUGCACCAACGAAAGACAGAGCUGCAACAGGAUUGAAACCGAUGUAAUCCACAAAUAAUCGUCCUAGCUACCCUACAGUAUUCAAGAAUAUAAUACAGCGUCGAGCAGGCCAAGCGGGCGACGUUACCGUUGCAAGGUCCGCUUCACGAAUAGAACCCCGAUGUCUCAUCCACUCCAAGUUCACCGAUGAUGUUGCAUCCACCUUUGAGUGGUUUCACGCACGUCCACCACGCCUCAUCCAUGCGAUUCCUGAAUUAGAAGAUUCGCAUUCAAUCUCAAUCAGCCGCUCAUCAGAUGUCGCCGUCGCCGUUGACGACGCCGCUCGUUAACGAAAAGUAUCGCCGACGUCCUUCGUUGCGUCUGAUCCCAACGGCUACCGUCGACCUCGUUCGUUCCAAAUGUGAACGAUGCUUUGAUACAAAGUUCUAGCGGGAACCAGCCAACGUCUGGCGCCUUCUUCAGCGUCACUCCCGUAGUUCUUGUCACCCCGCUGUAAUGGUCAUCAGAGCCCCCGUAAUCGAUUCUAAUGCGCUUAAUUAGUGGUGCACCAGCGGUCCGAGAAUCAUUUGUGGUGACAUAGUGCAGUAGCCUUUGAUCAAAGUCGUUCUACAGGGUUUUCUUUGAAUCCUGGGGGUUUUGGAGUCUUCUUGAGUUUCGUGUAGGUGUUGUGGAUUUGUAGUGUAGAGGUAUACAGGUUUGAGUUCAUGCAAUUGAGCUGUUGAAGAGUGUUGAAAGCAAGAAGGUUAGUCUUGCUUAUUUGCAUCUGCUUGUGGAGUUUGUUACGACUGUGGUGGGUUUAGUGGAAGCCAUUGCUCUACGGGGACGUUAGAUUCUGUUGCUUUACGAUUCUUGUUUGAGUUUCGUGGAGUAUUCCGUGUGCUCUGAGCGCAGUAAUUGUCUCAAUGCUUUUAGAAUGAAGCCCCAUCGUGUCCCGGAGCGACAUUUUUUCUCUCUUUCCUCAUCGGAGAUGAAAAUUGCGUCAAGUUUCGAAUGUGUCAUCUGUCUGGAUGGUUGUGUACUCAAUUUGGGAUUUCUUAGGUUUAUAGGGGCGUGAGGACUCGGGCGGAUGAUUCUUGAGCAUUGCCAUCAAAGUCCUCGGCCAAAGUGAACAUGGAGUUGCGCAAUCGGAAGUGAUAAGCAUUGUGAUGGACGUCGGUAUAGCAGAUGAUGACACACGAUGCCGCAAUAUGGGCUCAUCAAAGAAGGAUUCUCCAUUGCUCAUGUACAAGCGUCGCAAACGUGAUUCAACUCCUGUGAGGUAUGCAUGCAUGGCUCCGCCUAUCUGUUACUGCCUGUUGCAAAGUCUAUGUACUCUUCCUGUGGGCUUUACUGUCCUCCGUGUUCAUGAAUCUGACCGUCAUGUAUCGAUUCCUUAAGCCCCAAUAGGCGUUCAAGAAUGCAAUGUCGGUGGACACAUUGGUGCCCUUCGUGCGACCCGGUGGUGUAAUUAUUUCGGACUUCCGACUAUUCGGUUCGGUUGCAUUCUCAUGGCGCUCAUAUCCCUUUUUCCAUGUACAGAAGCUCCAGCCCCAUUUCAGACAAGACAACCGAAGUAGAAUACGAUGAGUCUCCGUCCGAGUCGGAGGGUCGAGCAUCCUCGCAGUUGAAGCUUCAAUCCUUGGAGGAAGUAGGUCCGACAGGAUGCAGCCAACGUGCAUUGCAGGUGGUUAAAACAAUCGCGGAUUCGAAGAGGACAUUUGCCCCACCUCCCGCCAAGCGCUGUCGACAGUACUUUCUAGACCUAGGGCAGGCCGACUUCACUCACACAACUUGUCGGGUUUGCGGAUUAGUGUAUGCUCGCGGGCUGGAAAGCGAUGAAAAGCUUCACAGUUCUUUUCAUCGGAGUCAGCUGAAGGGCAUCCAUUACAAGGUAAACCUUCGUUCGUCUGCUGCGAAGUGGUUGCUUCGCGAAACAGUGGCACCCUUUAACUUGUGCCAAAGUUGUGGAAUUAUCUCGAGUAUGUUUCUUCUGCAGUUGAUAAACAAAGUGUUCUCCUCUGCACCUAUACCUUUGUAGUUCCGCAGCAUACAUUCUGUUCUUCUUUAGGUUGACAUCCAGUGUGCCAGACAAGCUGACAAUUAGUAGCGACUUAACAACUCAAAUCUAUGCUGAUGUGGGCUGCAGGGUUGGAGCAAUGAGAGAGUGGCUUAUCAGGUUUCAAGCGAGGGUGAUCGGGUUGUGUAUGUAUUGCCCGGCGAUCCUUCAGGUUAUCUGAACAAGGUUGGGGAGGUAGUAAAGGUCAUGGAGCAGGAGAUGGGGUUGUCCCCAGGUUGGCUGUGGCAGAAAAAGCAUUGCAAGGUGGGAAUGCGAACUUUCAGCAUAAUCUUCAGUAUUGCCUCCGCUUUCUUUCUGUUCCUUCCAUGUCUUCUUCCUCAGUAUGUAAUGCAUCUCGCUUUGAUAAAUUUUCCGAGGUUCUAAGCUGUUUGAAUUGAGCAGGCCUAUCUAUUCAUCUCCGCAUCCAAGAAGAUUGUAGGCUGCGUUAUAGCGGAACGCAUCUCGUCCGCGUUCCCUAUCGUACCCCAUGAAUCGAAAGACUCGAAGCCUCUAGACACUCUGUUACAAUUUUCAGUUUCUAGAGGACACUCUGAAGAGUCACCUAUCUCAGAAGCUAAAACUAGGGACGAAAAGUCGAAGCCUUGUAAACAGCUUCUUUGGGGGGGCUGGAAGUUUAAUAGGGAAGUAGUGAACCGAAAAAAAGUACCCAAUGACAAUGUACAGGAACUGGGAAGGGCAAUCAUGUGCAGCAAGACUGAAGUCCCUGCAGUAUGUGGAGUGAGGGGAAUCUGGGUUUCUCGAACAGAGCGUAGGAAAGGCAUUGCAUCCCAUCUUCUAGAUGCCAUGAGGUUUGUCCCUUCGUUUUGGCUCACAUAUUUUGACUCUUACUAUUCCUUGAGAGUUCCUAGAUGUCUGCCUUCUGAAAUACUCACUUGAUUUCUCUUGCUUCAGGAAAACAUUUUGUGUUGGAGUGACGUUGGAGACCUCGCAGUGUGCAUUUUCCCAGCCUACUCCAGCUGGUGAAGCUUUUGCUGCGCGUUAUUGUGGCACUCCUUCCUUUCUUGUAUAUCAUACCUCGUGGUCGAUAACUUAGGUCUUCUAUAAGUUGCAAUUUGUGCACCCUUCUGAAGUUACUUCGGUGCAACACACAUGGCACACCAACCUGGUUCGCACCAUAGGUGCUGUUAGUGAUUUUUUUUGGAAAACCAUUUCUUGUAAAGAUUUGCAUCAUCGGCAUUGGAAUGUGAUAAAUGGAACGUUCUUGAAAUGUAGAACGGCUUUGUACCUUGUUUUAUUUCUCUUGAUGCAGUAAUUGUCAACAUUUCUGCAUUGUUGAGGUGUUGGUUUGAACCCGUCGUUUUUAGAUCAUUAUAGCUAUACUUUUGUAGUUAUGAAGUCCUUUGUUGAAUGAUACAAGAUACAAAAAACAUUGUUAAGUAAAUUGUGGAUUCCUUAGAAGUAAUCUACAUUCUAAAAUAUAAUAAAGGAUGUACAUAUCAUUGAUUUGUAACCAUCAAUAAGUCAGACAACAAUAGUCAUGUCCAUCUUUUUAAAGACAAUGUCCAUAUAUUUGACAUCAUUAAUCAUUAUUGAUACAAACUUAUGUAUUGUCCACUUAUCUAUGUUCAUGAAAAAAUAUGUUUUAUCAACAUUUUCAACCAACUUUUCAUCCAACAUACACAAUUAAAAUUUAUAUGCAUUACAAGUUUGUCAUCCAAACUUCUUCAAUUACAACAAAUGGUUGAUGAAUUAUAUAUAAUUAUUUUCAUAUGGUAUGUAAUUUUUUCUUAAUGUACAAUAGUUUUUCUAUGUAGAUCAUUAGCUUGUCAUAUCUAUGUAUGUUUACAAUAUUUUUGACUUCUAUGAAAUUUUGAAUCUAGCAAUUGUAAAUAUUUUCAAAAAUAGCUAUAUUACUUUAGGUCAUGUAACUAGGUAGAAGAAUAAGAUGCAAUGAUUACUUAAUUAUGUUCUUUUCUAACUCUAUUAAUAGCUUUGUCAAGAACUUCAUAGUCACCUUCUGAUAUUGAUUAAAUUCUUCUUCUAACUUGAUGUAUAAUUAGAGCAUCUAUUUUGUUUGUUUUGAUUUGCAACUACAUAUUGUCUUUGAAAGCAUCUUCUUAUCUUUGUUAAGUUGUAGGUGAUUGAUAGACUCAUGUUGUUCUUCAUUAAUCUCUAUAAUCUUCUUAUGCACGUUGUUGGAAUAGAGAGAAUUUGCCUUACAAAAGUGUUGGGCUUCUAGUUAUCACUAAUUGCUCAAUUAAGUCUCAAGAUAGAAAAGCACCAAGUUUAUACAUAUAAAUUUGUUUCUAUAAGAAUAAUUACAUCAAUAUUUAAGUCCUAAGUAUCAAAGAAUAUCUAAAAUGUGAUAAAAAUAUUCUAAAUCCUUAUAUAUUCUUAAGAUGAUUUUUUUCUAAAUUUCUAUAGAUCAUAUCUUAUGAUAGGACUAUUUAAACAAACUAAAAAUUUAUAUGAAGUACUAAUGUACUUUAAACAACUAUUAUAACAAAUUUCAACUACAAAUCCAUUAUGAAUCUUAAGAUAUUAUCAAAACCUUAAUAGUAGCUUCAAACCCUAGCUUAAAUACACAUAUGAGUAAAUUUCUUAUAUCUCCCAAACUAAGUAUUCAAAUAUCGUAAAUUUUUCACAUAUAGCUUUUUAACCUAAUAACAUAUAUCUUUAAAAAUUUUGAGCCAAAAAUUCGUCUAAAAAUUCAACAUAUAGCUCCAACUAUUACUAUCAACAAAAUGGCUUACUUAUUGCCUUUGAAUUACAUAUCCUAUCUUCAAUGCUCUAUAACUCCUUUAUACAAAUUCUAAAUAUAUCAAUUCUUUUGCAAAAACAUAGGUCUUGAAAUCAUCCUUGCAAUUGCAUCUCCCAAUUAUCAAAAGUUAUCAUAUAACUCCUUGUAUCUUCAAAAGAAAAAUAGUGUAUCUUAAAAAGCCAUCUUUAUUUCAAACAACUAUAAUUUCAUCAUCUUAACUAUCAAUACUUAUAAAUAUAUUAUUUAUUUUAGUUAAUUUUUAUAUUUUAUUAAUAAUUGCAAUACAACAUCUACCCCCUUCAAACUUGUACAUCUUCUAGUAUAUGCCACAUUGUUGUAAUACAUGUUGUCUUGUUUGAAAAUGCACCAAGCACCUAGCUGUAGAAGAUGAAGUCAUCUUUUACAAAUAUCUAAGAAACUUUAAUAGGUUUUACUCAUAUGAAAAGAAUGCGAUUCAAAUUUUAAUUCAAAAGUACUUAAAGCUAAUACAAAGUACUUAAUAAUACUCUUCUUAAUAAUCUCAACCAUAUAUAAAUCCCAAUUUCCUUAUAACACUCAUAAAUAGGCAAUUUUGAUUUCUCCUUGCAAGCCAUAAUUUUAGUCAGUGAGCUUUGGAAGGCUCCUAAUUUGAUAGUCCACUUGGUACAAAAAAUUUCACAAAAAUACCACUAUAAACCUUUUAUAUAUUUUUUAAAAAUUCAAUCCAAUCAAACUUAUAAAUUGUGAGAAAAAGUCCAAAAAUCACACUGAUAUCACUUAGUUGUCAACUUGAAAGUUGAUGCAAAUGUUCUAAUAGUAAUUUCUCCUUCUUCAACUAUUAGAUUCAACUCAAAAUUUUUAUAUAGCUUGAUAUUGAAGUUUCUUAUUACCAUGCCAAAUUUCAUUUUAAUCCAACUAGUAGAUCUCUAAAUAUUAUAGAAACCCUAUCCAAUCCUAAACUGCCAACUUUUAAUACUUUCUUGUACCAAAUUCCAAAUAUCUCCCAAUUGCACUAUUAGAUUAAUAUAAAAUUUUACAUAUACUUAGUACAUCUAAUUAAUCAAGCACUAUCAAAGUUUGAACUGUAAAUGAAACACUAAUUAUACAAAUUAGCUAAGAGUGCUAGCCCUAAUUAUAUUCCAUAAUUCUCAAAUCACCAAUACAAAUUCUAAUUUUGAACAACAAUUACAAAGUCAUUCCAAAUCCUUUGAAAAUUAACUUUAUACCUCUAAAAUAAGCUUAAAGCUAACUCAUCAAUCUUAAUUUUUAAUCUUCAAAUGCCUUCUAUUUUAUCUAAAGUAGUCAUUUUAGUGAUUGGAGAUCUGAUUUUGAUUCUAUCUCACAAAUGGUCGACCUCCGGGUAUCAAUCUAGCCUAUACAAGGGAAGUUUUAGUCUAAUCAUACCUUCAAUUUAAUCUUAGAAUCAACCAUGUUAAUUAUUUAUCUCUUUUAACUUCAUUUUAUUAAUUUAUGGCAUUUCUAAGGUAGUAAAAAAAUUCUUACAGUCCAGAAGGUAAAAUUACUAACUAAAUUUUGAUCUACUAGCUAUUAAGACAAGAAAAUAUACUAACAAGCAUUUAUAAAAGUUAUUUUUAAAUAUUUUAAUUUAUUAUUAAAUCAAGAUGAUUAAAUAUUAAUUAAAAAUUUAUUUUUGAUUAUAUUUUUUCAUAUAGUUGUGUCACAACACAACAUGUUACUCCUCCUCAUCUUCUUGAAAUUUCUUUAAAUCACUCAUAAGUUCUUCUACUUUAUAUUCUUGGUCCAAAUAUUAAGGUAAGAAUUCUUCAAGAUCUUCUAUUUUGAAUUGUCCAUAUCUUUUUUUGAAAGCCUUUACCUUCUUUUUUGCUACCAAAAUUCUAACAAUAGCUCUAUCUAAUUCAUAUGAGGUGUAUGUGGCAUUAUCAUAGAUUAUAACUACCACAUAAGAUUUAAACCAUUUUUUUUAUAAAUUUUUAUUACAAUACUAUGCUAAUAUUUAUAGCUGUUAUUAUAAACUAGAAUCCAAUCUUCAAUCUUUAUAAGCUUAGACCUCAACCUAUGAGUUUAUUUAUUUAUUUUUUAUUUAUUUUUUAUUUUUCAAACUUGAUUCCUUUAAUCUCUCACCUAUAAUUUAUAGGUCUUUAGGUAAUCUUUUCAAUUUUUGAAUUUGAAGCUUUAAUAAUAUUUUUUUAUUAACAUUAUCUUUUCAAGAUAAAAACAUCUAUAUAAAAUAGGUUUUUUUAGCUGGCAUUAUAGAUUUUUAUCCUAAUAUUAAUUCUAUGGAUAUAUAACUAGUGACAAUAUUAUGAGUAGUCCUAUUAGUUCAUAAAGCAAAUAAAAGCAAUUUAAGCCAUUGAAUUGGCUUAUCUUUAUGUGUCUUAACUAAUGGAUAAACAAUAGGAGGAUGACCACUCUCAUUCUUUCCAUUGGCCAUAGGAUUAUAAGAAAUAGUCAACUUUAGUUGAACUCCAUAUCUAUUGAAAAAUUCUCUUGCUUAUACAACAUUCAAUUCUCUUAUAUCAGCUCUCAUCUUACUAAUGCUAUUAUAUCUAUUGAAGAUGUCUUCUAUUAUAAAUUUGCAUAUUGCUUCUAUGGUCUUGGUUCUCAAAGUUGUUCCUUCAACAUAAUUUACUUUUACUUACUUCUAUCUAUUUAUACAAGUAUUUUAUAUCCUAAAGUCCUGAUGGCAUAGCUACCAAAUCAAUUAUCCAUUGAAAAUGUAUAAAAGGUGGAUAAGUAGGAUGUAAUUUAUCUCUAUACGUAACCUUAGAUUAUAAUUGAUACUCUGUGCAUAAGUUCACAAAGUCUUUUACAACCUUAUAUAAGCCCUUCUACCAAUAUCUUUUCUUGAUCUUAGUAUAUGUAGUCCAAAUUUCCCUAUAUCUUAUCCAAAGUAUACUAUAAUGUUCUUUUAAAACUUUAAAUUUAAUUUCAAGGUCUCUUACUAUCCUCAAUUGAAUUUUGUCACAUCUUUUUGGCUUCUUCUAUAGAAAUCCAUAUUUAAGUAGAUAACUAUAGGAUUGAUGUCUAAUAUCUUUGAAGGUUUAUCCAUCCAUCUGUUACGGACAUACACAUGUAAGUUAGUAAUUACAUGUAUAAAUAGAUAGAAGUAAGUAAAAGUAGAUAAAAAUAAGUUAAUUCUAUAGUAUUUGAUAUAAUAGCUUCUUAGAAGCUUCAUAGAUGCUACUUUGACUUUAUAAGUGUCUUUAAUUGACUUUUUGGGAUUAGAAACGUAGUCAAUAAGUUAGCCAUGUGCCACACAUGUUCUUAGUUUGAAGACCAAGCUAAUUAUGUAGCCCACACGUAGAAAAACUUGCCUUGUAAGUCAAGGUAUGUGUCCUACAAAGUCAACACAUAUUGGAGGUUCUAUAGAAUGUUGCCACGUAGCCCCUAGUAAGAUAGUAUAUAUAAAAAUAAGAAUGAAGCCUUCUUCACUCUUGUCAACUCAUUUCUUGCUUCCAAUCUCGUUUCAAGGGUCUCUAGUUUUCUUAGCUUUUGGCAAUAGCCAUUCAAGUUUCUUUCUUAAUAUACAUAUGAAGUUAUUUCUAUUUUGUCAGCUUUCUUUGAGAGAAGUCUCACUUGUUUAUUUGUUUUUAUCAUGUUCUUAUCUUUGACAGAUUGACAAGAAUACACUUACAAUAUCAGAGCUUUGUCUAAUCUUGAUUAAGAGUAGAUUACCCCUUUUUCUUGAUAAAACAUGAGCAUAUUAGAAUUUGCGGAUUACCCUCUUCUAAACUGAUAUUCUCCUUAGUAUUUUCUUUAUUCUCAAGUCCUUUCUUCUAUUUGUCUUGAGCAAUAUUAGAUAUCUUCUCUUUUCUAAGUGUUAUCAUGGCAGAACUUGCUGAAAUGAAGAGUGCAAUGGCACAAAUGCAAGAGUAAUUGAGGGAGUUAAUGCUUGCGAUGCAUCAACUCAAUUUACCACUAAAAAGAAUAACAAGAUUAGCAGGAAGUGAAGAUAUAGAAAUAAUUAGAGCUGCUUCAACAUCUGCACCAAAUCAUGUUUCUUCUCCUAUAGUGGAACGCCCUUCCAAUAUUAGAGAAUCAUGAAUUACCCUAUCCGAGAAGUUUGAUGGUACCAGAUCAAAGUUUAGAGGAUUUAUCAAUUAAAUACAAUUUGUGAUUGAACUUCAACCUCAAAGCUAUCCAAUUCCAAGAUCGCAAGUUAGAUUCAUUGGUACGCUUCUUUUAGGUUCAGCAUUAUAAUGGUUUUCAUCUUUUCUUGAACGACGAGAUUUAAUAUUGGAUAAUCUAGAGGCUUUUUUGGCGGAGUUUCGAUCUAUGUAUGGAAAACAUGAUGCAAUUCGUAUUGCAACCAAUAAGAUCCGUAUUUUAUAACAAGGCAAUCCAUCAGUAACAUUAUAUGCUUCACAAUUUUGACAACUUGCAACUGAUAUCAAGUGGGAUGAUGCUGCACUUAUUAGCCAAUUUUUCUACGGAUUACAAUAUGAAGUAAAAAAAUUAAUGCUCAACUUACCUGAUCCCCAAACAUUGAGUCAAGCAAUUGACUUUGCUGUGAACUGCGACAAUCACCUUUUUGAAUUUUAAUCUGAGAACCAUACAAGAGGACCUCAACGUUAGUAUAAUUCAAUAGCAACACCAACAUCUCUUCAAUACAUACAUUUGGAAGUAGAGGAUAUGUAAAUUGAUGUAGUACGUUUCAAACCUCUUACUGAGCAAGAAAAGAUUUGACAUCGUCAAGAAGGAUUGUGCUUAUAUUAUGGAAAACCUAAGCACACUGCUCAACAUUGUCCAAAGAAACAAUGCAACCAUAAAAUGAGGAGUAUGGGAAUCAAAGAAGAUAGCAUGUCAGAAAACAAAUUUGUCCGGUUACAAUAGGAACCGUGCUGCUGGAACCUUAUACAACGCCUAAUGAAGGUCCUAUCCUCUCCUCAGAACUCUCUCCAUGUUUUAUGAUAAAUGUUAUUCUAGGACCUAAACAUCUCAAAGCCUCUACCUUACUAGAUUCAAGAGCCUUAACAUGUUUUUUGGAUGAAAAAUUUGCUAAAAGACAUAGCAUAUUUUUAGUAAAGAAAACUAAACAUGUUCAUGUAGAAGUCAUAGA